AUUGAACGCUGGCGGCAGGCUUAACACAUGCAAGUCGAGCGAGUGGCGGACGGGUGAGUAAUGUCUGGGAAACUGCCUGAUGGCGGGGGAUACCUACUGGAAACGGUAGCUAAUACCGCAUACCAUCAGAUGUUCCCAGAUGGGAUUAGCUAGUAGUGGGGGUAAUGGCUCACCUUGGCGACGAUCCCUAGCUGGUGUGAGAGUAUGACCAGCCACACUGGAACGGAGAAACGGUCCAGACUCCUACGGGAGGCAGCAGUGGGGAAUAUUGCACAAUGGGCGAAAGCCGGAUGCAGCAAUGCCGCGUGUGUGAAGAAGGCCUUCGGGUUGUAAAGCACUUUCAGCGAGGAGGCGUUACUCGCAGAAGAAGCACCGGCUAACUCCGUGCCAGCAGCCGCGGUAAUUC
rnacentral:rRNA from 1 species